rnacentral:rRNA from 1 species
AGUGAACGCUGGCGGUAGGCCUAACACAUGCAAGUCGAACGGCAGCACAGGAGAGCUUGCUCUCUGGGUGGCGAGUGGCGGACGGGUGAGGAAUACAUCGGAAUCUACUCUGUCGUGGGGGAUAACGUAGGGAAACUUACGCUAAUACCGCAUACGACCUACGGGUGAAAGCAGGGGAUCUUCGGACCUUGCGCGAUUGAAUGAGCCGAUGUCGGAUUAGCUAGUUGGCGGGGUAAAGGCCCACCAAGGCGACGAUCCGUAGCUGGUCUGAGAGGAUGAUCAGCGACGCUGUAACUGAGAAACGGUCCAGACUCCUACGGGAGGAAGCAGUGGGGAAUAUUGGACAAUGGGCGCAAGCCUGUUCCAGCCAUACCGCGUGGGUGAAGAAGGCCUUCGGGUUGUAAAGCCCUUUUGUUGGGAAAGAAAUCCAGCUGGCUAAUACCCGGUUGGGAUGACGGUACCCAAAGAAUAAGCACCGGCUAACUUCGUGCCAGCCGCCGCGGUAA